GUCAGAUGAGGCCUCAGUUGGAAGCUUGGAUAUCUCUACACAGGUCAGGGAGGAUGAUUAUGAUUCACAUAUGCGGUUGUAAAUAAGGAGUUGUGACGUCUCCUCCUCUGGUGAUCUCCAAUUCUUUGAAAAAAAAACCCCUACAGGUUAAAAAUCUACUAAACAAGUUCGCAACAACAAGGAUCCUUCUCCACAGGCCCUCCAGGCUCUCCAUGACAUUGGCGUGAGUGAGAGUCCCGCCUACGAUUACGUCCCGCUACUACUUAUGCACCAGACUGACAAGCUUGCGUUGGAGAGAGGUGUGAGGAAGAGGGGUGGAGGGGGAGACAAGCCCCUCGCUCUGAGUGCUAAUGGAUGAUUGGAGGCAGGAUAGGAGGCUUCAGUUCUCUCUUUCAUCCUGGCCUGCUUUUGACCCGGAGAGCCAGCAGUAAUCGGUCCGGCAGAGGGGGUAAUCAUUCCCCGCGUGCAGACUCUGAUAAGUUGGAACACCUUCCCUCAGCAGCGGAGGGAGCUCCCGCGGCCUCCCUGGUUAUCGCUGUCCCCGGCACCCCUUCAAGAGGCUGCGUUGCCUCCUCUCCCAGGCUCAAAGGCUCCAUCAACAGCAGCCUCUCUGCUCUGCUUUCAUCUGACAGAGCACAUAAGCCGGUGAAAGGGAGGAAAAAUAAACUGGUUCUAUCUCUCAAAUUGUGAUCUUAUGAAUUCGAUUUGGCCACUUUUAAAAUGUAACUGCACAAUUUGUUAUUUUCCCCUGUUUCCCUUUUCUCUGUUAAUAUCUGUGGCGAUAAAUUGCUUCGAUUGACAGGCUCAUUUUUUU
ensembl:lncRNA